GCCAGCAUGGUGUAGUGGUUUGAGUGUUGGACUAGGACUCUGGAGACCAGGGUUCGAAUCCCCACUCAGCCA
rnacentral:tRNA from 1 species